GUGUCAGCAGCCGCGGUAAGACAGAGGGUGCAAACGUUGCUCGGAUUUACUGGGCGUAAAGCGCAUGUAGGCUGGAAUCUAAGUCGGGUGUGAAAUCCCUGGGCUCAACCUAGGAACUGCAUCCGAAACUGGAUUCCUGGAGUGGUGGAGAGGAAAGCGGAAUUCCGGGUGUAGAGGUGAAAUUCGUAGAUAUCCGGAGGAACACCAGUGGCGAAGGCGGCUUUCUGGACACCAACUGACGCUGAGAUGCGAAAGCGUGGGGAGCAAACAGGAUUAGAAACCCUCGUAGUCC
rnacentral:rRNA from 1 species